GUGCUCACUUCAGCAGCACAUAUACUAAAACUGGAACAAUACAGAGAAGAUUAGCAUGGCCCCUGUGCAAGGAUGACACGCAAAUUCGUGAAGUAUUCCACAUUAAA
rnacentral:snRNA from 1 species